AGAUCCGUAGUCUGAUACUCACUGAACUGGACAGAACCCCAUCCCGCAAUGUAUGGGAACUUCCUCACAAAGUCCAGGGAGCGAAUCUCGGGAGCGAGCGGCAGACAGAUGGGUCUGAUGAGGUCUGCAGACACAAUGGACUGAAUGAGAUAUGACUGUGAUAAUGAAGCCGUACGCACUUGAGGGAGUGGCUGAGAAACGAGAUGUUAGCGCAAAGAGUGCAGAACAUCAGUGAUUCUGAAUGCCUGGCAAUGACCUACUUGUGUAGUUGACAUCAUUCUGCAACCUCAAGAUGGCAACAUCAUUGACAAAUGUUCUGGGGUCAUAGUUGUUGUGCACUUUAUGGUCUUCUAUCAAGAUGUCUAUUGGUGUAGCCCCAUCAUCAUCUCGCUCCAGGUCCAGCUCGCCAAGCCUUGCCAUGUACCUGCAACAGGAGAUGAGACUUACAAGUCCUUGCGGCCAUGCACGCAGUGUCCUGCUGUGAUCACGUGUCUGUUGGUUAUGAGGGCACCUCCGCACAAGAACUUAAUGUCUGCUGAGGAUGAUGACUUGUAGCCCAGUGCCACAAGCCAGGGCCACGCACCUGUAACCACACGUCAUCUUGGUUGAGGGCCGCGAGCUUAGACAUUUCAGCCCCCAGUUUUCUCCUAUUCCGUGACAUUCAACUGAUUUUACGGUGACUGGAAACACCCUGAAAGUGGACUAUAAUUCACAAGGAAGUAAACAAACACAUUCACCCAUUUGGAUGGAUAUCUGAGAGCACCCUGAAGCUACGUGAAUGCACUUACCAAGUUUUGCGGGAUAUCCGCCUAUAAUAC